AAUAUUUUUAAUGGCUACAUAUUUUUUGUCUUUCUUCCAGUGAAUUUCGUUGCAAUUUACACUAUAAAAUCAUAAAGGCAGAUCUCAGUAAACUUUCACAGAAGUAACACAGCUAUGUCAUUACCACAAAUCAAGAAAGAAUGGCACCCCACAAGCACACCUUAUGUAUGCUUAUGUCUGUUCCUUGAAAUGUCUGCUACAGAGACAAACUGAAGUUGUGUAUAUCAUGCUGAUUCAGAAGAGAAUGAAGGCAUUUGUCAAGAGAUAAUGUCAGACUAAUCAGACAUGUUCCAAUCAAUUAAUGCAUUUGGAGGAUUUCCAAAUAUUUGCUGAUCUAAGGAAGGUAUAUGAUGGGAAACAAAUCUGAGAAAAGAAGGAUGGUAGAUGCCUUCCUAUUUUGACCUGUGAUCAUUUUGGCUUGAAAGAAAAGGUCAAGUGUGGUGGCUCAUACCUGUAAUCCCAACAUGUUGGGAGGCAGAGGCAAGAGGAUCACUUGAGACUAGGAGUUUGAGACCAGCCUGGGCAACAUAGCAAAGACCUGUGCCUAUAAACAAAAUAAAUAAAUGAAUAAAAAGACUAUUCAAAUGAUGGAUAGUUUGGUUUUAAAAUAUGAAAAGAACCCAUAGAAAGCCAAAUGAAAAAAGAGAAUAUCAGGAAACAGAGUUUAGCUUGGCAAUAAUUGAACCAAAAUCACUAGGGAUCCAUUCUUUCUCUUUUAUUUUGUAGAUGAGUUAUCUUGCAUAUAUUUCUGCACAUUGCUUUACUUUUCUUUGCUGCAGCCUCACUUCCAAAAUGAAAAUCUUAGAAUUGGCACCCUAUAAUGUUGGUUUACACAUAGUUUGUGGUUAAAAUGUCAUGAACUCUGACAUUAAUUAUCUGUUAUAUCUCCAGAGACUACAUCAGUUUAUUUGAUUCCGUUUUUAAAAAUUAAUUUGUUUGUACACUUUAUGGAGGUAUAAUUGACAUUCUAUAAAGGGCUAAUAUCUCAAAGUACAAUUUGGUAAAACAUAAUUUAUUUGUAUACCAGUAAAACCACCACCAUAAUGAAGAUAAUGAGUAUGUGCAUUAUCCUCAAAGCUUUCCUCAUGCCCUUUUAUAACCUCUUGCUUCCAGCCCUCACCUCUCUGGAUUCCUCUCUGGCAAUCUUUAUCUGCUCUCACGAUGCAUGACUGAAUUUUAUAUAAGUGAAAUCGUAUGUUUGCCUAAUUUCUUUCAUUCAUUUAACUAUUUUAACAUUCACCCAUAUUAAUGUCUAUAUCAUUAUUUAAUGCCUUUUUAACUGCUGAGAAAUACUGUAUUUUAUAGAUAUACCUCAAUUUGUUUAUCCAUUCACAUUUAGGCAAUUGGACAUUUGGGACAUUUGGGUUGUUUCUACUUUUGAGUCAUUAAAGAUGAUGUUAAUGAUGUUACUAUGAGAUUUACGUACAAGUCCAUGUAUAAACAUACGUGUUUUAUUUUGAUAAACACCUAAAAAUGAGAUGACAGAGUCAAAUGGUAGGUUUAUAUUUAACUUCUUAAGAAACUACCACACUUUUGUUCAAAAGCAACUAUCAGAUUUUACAUUCCUACCUGCAGUAAAUGAGACUUCCAGUUGUUUGACAUUUACAAUACUUGGUAAGGUUAGUCUCAAAUUGUAGUCACUCUUACUGGUGUGUGUACUAGGAUUUCUGUGUGUUUUUUAACUUGUGAUGUUCAGAAACUGUUUCUAUGGUGACUUACUAUGUGUAAAUCUUUAUUAAAAAGGAUCUGUUCACAGUC